AUUGAACGCUGGCGGCAGGCCUAACACAUGCAAGUCGAACGGUAACAGGAAACAGCUUGCUGUUUCGCUGACGAGUGGCGGACGGGUGAGUAAUGUCUGGGAAACUGCCUGAUGGAGGGGGAUAACUACUGGAAACGGUAGCUAAUACCGCAUAACGUCGCAAGACCAAAGAGGGGGACCCUCGGGCCUCUUGCCAUCGGAUGUGCCCAGAUGGGAUUAGCUUGUUGGUGGGGUAACGGCUCACCAAGGCGACGAUCCCUAGCUGGUCUGAGAGGAUGACCAGCCACACUGGAACUGAGACACGGUCCAGACUCCUACGGGAGGCAGCAGUGGGGAAUAUUGCACAAUGGGCGCAAGCCUGAUGCAGCCAUGCCGCGUGUAUGAAGAAGGCC
rnacentral:rRNA from 1 species